rnacentral:rRNA from 1 species
UACGUAGGCAGCAAGCGUUGUUCGGAGUUACUGGGCGUAAAGGGUGCGUAGGCGGCUUUUUUAAGUUUGGUGUGAAAUCUCCCGGCUCAACUGGGAGGGUGCGCCGAAUACUGAGAAGCUAGAGUGUGGGAGAGGAAAGUGGAAUUCCUGGUGUAGCGGUGAAAUGCGUAGAUAUCAGGAGGAACACCGGUGGUGUAAACGGCUUUCUGGACCAUAACUGACGCUGAGGCACGAAAGCGUGGGUAGCAAACAGG